CUUCUCUGCUUUCCUUUCCAGAACUGUUCAGCCACCAACCAUCCACCCGAGGCAGCCCCAUGCCUGCCCCGACUGAAGAGUCAGCUUACAAAGGCAAGCACUUGUUUGCUCUGUGCUUUUGUGUUCCUAGCGCCUAGAAAGUGCCUGACUGAGAAAACACGUCCAGUAAAUAUCUGUGGUGUGGAAGGCCGUAUAGCUAGAAAUAUAUAAGUUUUCACCAAAGGAAAAUGGCAGGCAUUUCCUUUGCAAAGGUUGAACCAUAUGAGGAACCAGGUCACUGAAGGGCUGCUGUGGGCUUCCUGGGUGUUAAGGAAAAGGCCUACAAUCCAACGUAAAUGAAAAAUCUACAAACCAGGCUGUGAACCUGCCAGGGUUUUAUAUGUCCUCUGGUUAAAGUAGGGAGCCGCUUUCAGACAGAACAUCCCUGGGCUCAUUCAUUCUCCCAGAAAAUCUUUUCAACGGUCCUACCUCCGUCAUCCACGUUGAAACCAGCAAGUGUCUGACCUGGAAGAACUGUGAAAGGAAGGCGCAUCAUGAGGAGAGCGUGAGGAGCCUGCCUAGUCCACUGUUAACACAAGCAAUACUUCUCCAAUAGGCCCUCCUAGUUUGUUUGUAUUUUAACCUAAAACAGACGAGUGGCCAGGGAAUUACUCCCACUUCUCUCACCUUUCCCCAGGACUGUCUGCUUUGCGUGCAAUGCCACUAUUUUCCUCCUCCUUGAUAGUGAGCUUUUCGUGGUCUAAGUGCCACCACGGAAAAGGCUAAUCUUCCUGAGAGUGGCUUGACCCACUUAUGGCUGUGUCAGUCCUCCCAGCACCGGAGGCUUAACUGAUGUCAGCACCUUAAGAACUGUCUCUGUUGUCGUCAACGGAGUGUGUCUGAUGUUCUGGAAUUUUUAUUAAUUUAUCUUCUUUUCAGUGCUGACCCUGGCUAUAAUUCCAGCACUCAGAAAGCAGAGACAGAAGGACCCUGAGUUCAAGGUCAGACUGAGCUACAUAGCCAGUCUGAGGCCAGCACAUGCUACAUGAGAUCCUCUGGGCCAGGCACGGUAGAACACGUCUUUAAUCAUAACAUUUGGGAGGCAGAGGUUGGCAGAUCUCUUUGAAUCCAGCCUCCUCUACAUAAUUCCUCUUCUCCACGCGCUCCAAGCCAGGCAGGGUUACACAAUAUUUGAAAAGGAGAAGAUGCUCAGUGGUUGUCACCAUGGCUGAUGUGGAGCUUCCGAAAACAGCAGACAACAUUCUGUAACUAUCAACACUCAGUUAGACCCGGCCUGCUCAACACCAGUGCACCACUGGGAGAUGACUCCACUACCCCAGCAGCUGUGCCUUCCCUGCCCUCUUCCCACACAGCGACUGUUCUCAUUGCCCUUCCAUUUCUUCAGGAAAAUAGAAACCACCAGAAGACCACUCAGCCUUCUCUCCUCCUACAGAACUCCCCCCUCUGGGGACACACCCUCUCUUCUUCAUUUUUAGGGAACUGAUGUGAAGCACUUGACUUCUCACCUCACUGCUUCUCUCAGUGAAUGUGGGACCCUCUGGGCCUUGUUCCAGGCCUCCUACUAUGGUGGCUAAUCCUUAAUCUCUUUUGAUGUCUCUAUUAAAUGUUGAGGUUCUCUCUG